rnacentral:rRNA from 1 species
UACGUAGGUGGCAAGCGUUGUCCGGAUUUACUGGGCGUAAAGAGCGCGCAGGCGGUCGUUCAAGUCGCGUGUGAAAGCCCCCGGCUCAACUGGGGAGGGUCACGCGAUACUGAUCGACUCGAAGGCAGGAGAGGGUAGUGGAAUUCCCGGUGUAGUGGUGAAAUGCGUAGAUAUCGGGAGGAACACCAGUGGCGAAGGCGACUACCUGGCCUGUUCUGACGCUGAGGCGCGAAAGCUAGGGAGC